GAUGAACGCUAGCGGCAGGCUUAACACAUGCAAGUCGAGGGGUAUAGUUCUUCGGAAUUAGAGACCGGCGCACGGGUGCGUAACGCGUAUGCAAUCUACCUUUCACAGAGGGAUAGCCCAGAGAAAUUUGGAUUAAUACCUCAUAGUAUAGCAGUUUCGCAUGAAACCACUAUUAAAGUCACAACGGUGAAAGAUGAGCAUGCGUCCCAUUAGCUAGUUGGUAAGGUAACGGCUUACCAAGGCAACGAUGGGUAGGGGUCCUGAGAGGGAGAUCCCCCCACACUGGUACUGAGACACGGACCAGACUCCUACGGGAGGCAGCAGUGAGGAAUAUUGGACAAUGGGCGCAAGCCUGAUCCAGCCAUGCCGCGUGCAGGAUGACGGUCCUAUGGAUUGUAAACUGCUUUUAUACAGGAAGAAACACUACUUCGUGAAGUAGCUUGACGGUACUGUAAGAAUAAGGAUCGGCUAACUCCGUGCCAGCAGCCG
rnacentral:rRNA from 1 species